AUUGAACGCUGGCGGCAGGCCUAACACAUGCAAGUCGAGCGGAUCGGCGGACGCGUGAGUAAUGCCUAGGUAUCUGCCUGUUAGUGGGGGAUAACGUCCGGAAACGGGCGCUAUUACCGCAUACUAUUAGAUUAGCCUAGGUCGGAUUAGCUAGUUGGUGGGGUAAAGGCCUACCAAGGCGACGAUCCGUAACUGGUCUGAGAGGAUGAUCAGUCACACUGGAACUGAGAAACGGUCCAGACUCCUACGGGAGGCAGCAGUGGGGAAUAUUGGACAAUGGGCGAAAGCCUGAUCCAGCCAUGCCGCGUGUGUGAAGAAGGUCUUCGGAUUGUAAAGCACUUUAAGUUGGGAGGCGUUACCAACAGAAUAAGCACCGGCUAACUUCGUGCCAGCAGCCGCGGUAAUUC
rnacentral:rRNA from 1 species